CGGGGAUUGGCGCAAUUGGCUAGCGUGCUUGCUUUGGGAGCAAGAGGUUGCAGGUUCGAAUCCUGUAUCCCCGACAA
rnacentral:tRNA from 3 species